GUACCCGUAGCUCAGCUGGAUAGAGCGUUAGCCUCCGGAGCUAAAGGUCGUUGGUUCGAAUCCAAUCGGGUACA
rnacentral:tRNA from 1 species